rnacentral:misc_RNA from 1 species
UUUGGGAGAAGUCAGGA